GCUGCUGGUGCAGGGGCCGGCAGAGCUGCCCAGUUGCCUGGCCUGGGACUUACAUGGCUAUGAGGCGGGUCAUGGUGGUUUUGAAACGGUCAAAGAUGUAGCCGGUGGGGAAUGUCAUGAAGUUAAUCACAAAGGACACCAGGGUGAAGACGAGAGAGAACCUCUCAUCCUGGGCUCUGCAGGCUGAGGAGAGAAAGGAGAGACCUUAGAAGCCCAGGGUACAGGGACCAAUCUCCCAGCCACCCAGCCUUCCUGCCAGACGAACACCAGCGAAGCCCAGCCAAAGACGACGCCUGCAAAGCCAAGACAUUCCAGCAGCCCGGUCAGCAGCGUGGCCACAUGGAGGUAUAGGGCCUGGCCUGCCAUGGCCCGUCGUGCAGCGGAUCCUCAAAUCCCACUUGUGGGCCCCUGCGCUGACCCCAGGAACCACGAAGUCUUGGUGUUCACACACUUGGAAAAUUCCUUGGCAAGCGCUGCUCUUCCUGUAGCCUUCCUAGUCCUGGCUGUUUGGGGCUUGGGCAGGAACCCAGAUGGGCGAUUCUCUGGAUACUGCAAAAGAAGGCGGAGGCUGCUGGGAACAGAAGCAUUGUGGGAAAGAUAAGGAGAGAGAGCCAGAGAAUCAGCUUUGGGAAAGCACUGCAAAGGAGCAUGCCCAAGGUCACGGCUAUGAAGUGGAGGUGUCUGCCUGACUCCCAAACCUGUGUUCCUCCCAGGCUUAAUUAUGGAUAUUUGGACUUAGAGAAUACAAAACAAAUCUCUUUUUUUUUUUAAGACAGAAAAUUAAUU